UACGGGGGGAGCAAGCGUUGUUCGGAUUUACUGGGCGUAAAGGGCGCGUAGGCGGCCAGCACAAGUCAGUUGUGAAAUCUCCGAGCUUAACUCGGAAAGGUCAACUGAUACUGUGCGGCUAGAGUGCGGAAGGGGGCAACUGGAAUUCUUGGUGUAGCGGUGAAAUGCGUAGAUAUCAAGAGGAACACCUGCGGCGAAGGCGGGUUGCUGGGCCGACACUGACGCUGAGGCGCGAAAGCCAGGGGAGCGAACGGG
rnacentral:rRNA from 1 species